UGGUGGGAUCCAUGCCUGGUUCAUUUUAAUAAACGUGAGCUUGUCCACGUUGGCCGUGGACAGGCGGCUGCACUUGUCUGUGAUAACCUCGUGCCGAUCUCACGUCCCCGUGACGGUGACAACGCAUAGGGAUGUCUGCCCUAUCAACUUUCGAUGCUAUUUUCCGCGCCUACCAUGGUGACCACGGGUAACGGGGGAAUCAGGGUUCGAUUCCAGAGAGGGUGCCUGAGAAACAGUUACCACAUGCAAGGAAGGCAGCAGGCGCGCAAAUUACCCACUCCCGACGCGGGAAGGUAGUGA